rnacentral:rRNA from 1 species
UGGGGAAUUUUGCGCAAUGGGGGAAACCCUGACGCAGCAACGCCGCGUGCGGGACGAAGGCCUUAGGGUCGUAAACCGCUUUCAGCAGGGACGAAACUGACUGUACCUGCAGAAGAAGCUCCGGCUAACUACGUGCCAGCAGCCGCGGUAAUACGUAGGGAGCAAGCGUUAUCCGGAUUUAUUGGGCGUAAAGCGCGCGUAGGCGGCUUGUUAAGUCAGGUGUGAAAGCCGGGGGCUCAACCCGCGGAUUGCAUCUGAAACUGGCAGGCUUGAGUGUGGUAGAGGAAAGUGGAAUUCCCGGUGUAGCGGUGAAAUGCGCAGAUAUCGGGAGGAACACCAGUGGCGAAGGCGGCUUUCUGGGCCACUACUGACGCUGAGGCGCGAAAGCUAGGGGAGCGAACA